AUUUUAAUUUUAAUGUCGCAGUUUAAAAAAUUCACUAAGGUAAUUGAUGGACAAACUUCAUUUCCAGUAGUCUUUUGAAUUUUAUUUUGAUUUCUGCUCGUGGAGGUCUCGGGUUCUUUCUCUUCACUUAAAACUCUUUUCCGGAAUGUUUCUGCGAGGUAUCCAGUACUGUUAAAGUCGUCAUUAAUAAUGUCACCACAAAUAUAUAAAGAUCUAUCGAAAAUAUACAACAGCACCCUUCUAAAAUGUAAUUUUUCACAAAAAUAUCGGAUUUUUAUCAGACACUAAGAAAUGAGAGGCAGCUUUAUUCAAACAAAAAGCCAAAUUAUUUCACCAAGCUACAUCGCCGCUGGGGCAACAACUAAACAAGAUCUGGCUGAUGUUAUAAAAUAGGUAUGUGUAAACUUAAUAAAACACUUAAUUUUUA